rnacentral:misc_RNA from 1 species
AAAAAUGUACAAGAAUGAAAGAUAAUAUUAGGUUUUAUAUAAUCCAUAAUUAUAAUAAAAGUAUAUAAUAUAUAUGAAAAAAUCAUAUUAAAGUAUAUGCAUAAAAGCAAUUUUCCGUUCGGUUUUGAUUUGGUAUGGGUCUAGUAUAGUUCCAGUAUGAUUCUUAGUGAAAAACUAGAACCAAACCAAAACAGUCAAAUAAGUGCAAUUCUAUAUAGUUCUUCGGUUCGGCUCAAGCCCUCCAAGAACCAUGUACAACCCUAAUAAUAAGGCUACACUCAAAGUGGCUAAUAUCUAAGGAUGUUUAUAAGUGCAAUUGUGUGUGUGUGUGUGU